GUCUUCAGCCAUACCACCCUGAACGCGCCCGAUCUCGGCUGAUCUUGGAAGCUAAGCAGGGUGACGCCUGGUUAGUACUUGGAUGAGAGAAGGCAGAAUAGGACAACCAGGUUUCUGGCU
rnacentral:rRNA from 1 species